rnacentral:rRNA from 1 species
GACGAACGCUGGCGGCGUGCCUAAUACAUGCAAGUCGAGCGGACUUUCAAGAAGCUUGCUUUUUGAAAGUUAUCGGCGGACGGGUGAGUAACACGUGGGCAACCUGCCUGCAAGACGGGGAUAACUCCGGGAAACCGGGGCUAAUACCGGAUAAUAUCUUCCUUCGCAUGAAGGAAGGUUGAAAGGCGGCGCAAGCUGCCGCUUGCAGAUGGGCCCGCGGCGCAUUAGCUAGUUGGUGAGGUAACGGCUCACCAAGGCGACGAUGCGUAGCCGACCUGAGAGGGGGAUCGGCCACGCUGGUACUGGGACACGGCCCAGACUCCUACGGGAGGCAGCAGUAGGGAAUCUUCCGCAAUGGACGAAAGGCUGACGGAGCAACGCCGCGUGAGCGAAGAAGGUCGUCGGGUCGUAAAGCUCAGUUGUCAGGGAAGAACAAGUACCGUUCGAACAGGGCGGGACCUUGACGGUACCUGAACAGAAAGCCACGGCUAACUACGUG